CCAAACCCGAACCGGUUCAAAGAUACAAAAGGCGAAGAAGAAGAAAUCCAAUGCAAAUACAAAAAAGGCUAAUCUUUUCAAUCAAAUUGAUGGUAAUAGCGAUGCAGAAUCGUUUAUCCUUUCCAGAUGCCCCCAACAGAAGAAGAAGAAGAAGAAGAAGAAGAAGAAGAAAUCAGUACCUCAUUCAUAUUUGCAAAGGGAAGUAAUACUAUGGACAUUGAUCAGGGGUAUUAGAAGAGAAAGACGAGUGAAGGUUGCACAAAAAGAGGACGAAAAUGCAAGAAAAGAGCACAAAAAUGCCAAGUACCCAAACCGCGCUACAGGCCAGGCUUCGCGAGGUCUAUAGCCAGCUUGACCGCGCUACAGACCAGGAUUCGCGAGUUCUAUAGCCAGGUUGACCGCGCUAUAAGCCUCGCUUCGCGAGGUCUAUAGCCCGGUAAUUAAAAGUCGCUGGUUAAAAGUCUCUAACCCGGAUUUGGACUCAAGAACUUCAACCCUAGCUUAUAAAUACUCCCUAAACAUGUCUAUUUAGUCUAAGAGAAAGGGAGGACGUUUUUUUAGAGCAAAUUCAACCAAAAGGGAGAUAUUGUUUAGAGGGUAUUCGACCUAUGGAGGCAAUAACACACUAGGAACAAGGCGGAGAAUUCUUCUAUGAGUUUUUCACUUUCUUUUUCCUAUUUCCACUAUUGGUUAUGAAUUCUUGUAUUGUAAUUUUGCAUACUAUUAUGAAUAUCUAAUUUGUUAUCUAGAGUUUUAAUAAAACCUUUUGUAAGAUGAAUUCUUGUUAUAU